rnacentral:rRNA from 1 species
AGCAGCCGCGGUAAUUCCAGCUCCAAUAGCGUAUAUUAAAGUUGUUGCAGUUAAAAAGCUCGUAGUUGAAUUUCGGGAUCAGUAAGUUGGUCGUGCCUCCGGUAUGUACUGGCUUUACUGGUUCCUCCUUCUUGAAGAACUGUAAUGUCAUUAAUUUGGUGUUGCAGGGAAACAGGACUGUUACUUUGAAAAAAUUAGAGUGUUUAAAGCAGGCUAACGCUUGAAUACAUUAGCAUGGAAUAAUGAAAUAGGACGUUUGAUCCUAUUUUGUUGGUUUCUAGGAUUGACGUAAUGAUUAAUAGGGAUAGUUGGG